rnacentral:rRNA from 1 species
GUGCCAGCCGCCGCGGUAAGACGAACCGUCCAAACGUUAUUCGGAAUCACUGGGCUUAAAGGGUGCGUAGGCGGCACGGCAAGUUGGGUGUGAAAUCCCUCGGCUCAACCGAGGAAUUGCGCCCAAAACUGCCGCGCUCGAGGGAGACAGAGGUGAGCGGAACUUAGGGUGGAGCGGUGAAAUGCGUUGAUAUCCUAAGGAACACCGGUGGCGAAAGCGGCUCACUGGGUCUCUCUGACGCUGAGGCACGAAAGCUAGGGGAGCGAACGGGAUUAGAUACCCCGGUAGUCCUGGCUGUAAACGAUGGGCACUAGACGGGAGGCGCUUCGGCGCAUCCAGUCGCAGCGAAAGCACUAAGUGCCCCGCCUGGGGAGUAUGGUCGCAAGGCUGAAACUCAAAGGAAUUGACGGGG